rnacentral:tRNA from 1 species
GAAGUUAUACCUCAGUGGUAGAGUGCAUGCUUAGCAUGUGUGAGGUCCUGGGUUCAAUCCCCAGUACCUCCA